UACGGGGGGGGCAAGCGUUGUUCGGAAUUACUGGGCGUAAAGGGCUCGUAGGUGGCCAACUAAGUCAGACGUGAAAUCCCUCGGCUUAACCGGGGAACUGCGUCUGAUACUGGAUGGCUAGAGUUUGGGAGAGGGAUGCGGAAUUCCAGGUGUAGCGGUGAAAUGCGUAGAUAUCGGGAAGAACACCCGUGGCGAAGGCGGCUCUCUGGGACGGUACUGACGCUGAGACGCGAAAGCUAGGGGAGCAAACGGG
rnacentral:rRNA from 1 species